rnacentral:rRNA from 1 species
CCAAUAGCGUAUAUUAAAGUUGUUGCAGUUAAAAAGCUCGUAGUUGAAUUUCGGGAUCAGUUGAUCGGUCGUGCCUCGGUACGUACUGGUCAAAUUGAUUCCUACCUUCUGACGAACCACGAUGUCAUUAAUUUGGUGUCGUAGGAAAUCAGGACUGUUACUUUGAAAAAAUUAGAGUGUUUAAAGCAGGCUCGCGCUUGAAUACAUUAGCAUGGAAUAA